rnacentral:rRNA from 1 species
GAGCGGUAACGCGGGAGCAAUCCUGGCGACGAGCGGCGAACGGGUGAGUAAUGCUUCGGAAUCUGCCCAGUAGUGGGGAAUAACCAAUCGAAAGGUUGGCUAAUGCCGCAUACGACCUACGGGUGAAAGCAGGGGAUCGUAAGACCUUGCGCUAUUGGAUGAGCCGAAGUCGGAUUAGCUAGUUGGUAGGGUAACGGCCUACCAAGGCGACAAUCCGUAGCUGGUCUGAGAGGACGACCAGCCACACUGGGACUGAGACACGGCCCAGACUACCUACGGGAGGCAGCAGUGGGGAAUAUUGGACAAUGGGGGCAACCCUGAUCCAGCGACGCCGCGUGGGUGAAGAAGGCCUGCGGGUUGUAAAGCCCUUUCGGUGGGGAAGAAAAGUUCCGACCUAACACGUCGGGACCUUGACGUGACCCACAGAAGAAGCACCGGCUAACUAUGUG